AUUGAACGCUGGCGGCAGGCUUAACACAUGCAAGUCGAGCGGAGAUGAGGUGCUUGCACCUUAUCUUAGCGGCGGACGGGUGAGUAAUGCUUAGGAAUCUGCCUAUUAGUGGGGGACAACAUUCCGAAAGGAAUGCUAAUACCGCAUACGCCCUACGGGGGAAAGCAGGGGAUCUUCGGACCUUGCGCUAAUAGAUGAGCCUAAGUCAGAUUAGCUAGUUGGUGGGGUAAAGGCCUACCAAGGCGACGAUCUGUAGCGGGUCUGAGAGGAUGAUCCGCCACACUGGGACUGAGACACGGCCCAGACUCCUACGGGAGGCAGCAGUGGGGAAUACUGGACAAUGGGCGAAAGCCUGAUCCAGCCAUGCCGCGUGUGUGAAGAAGGCCUUUUGGUUGUAAAGCACUUUAAGCGAGGAGGAGGCUACUUGGAUUAAUACUCUAGGAUGGUGGACGUUACUCGCAGAAUAAGCACCGGCUAACUCUGUGCCAGCAGCCGCCGUAAGAC
rnacentral:rRNA from 1 species